ACGUGCGCCAUUGAUUUUAUGCAGUGCCCUGUAGGUUCUCUGCUGAACCUUCUCGCAUUCAUGUCUUUGCUUUAAUACAGUUGUUUUCAGAGUGUGAAAUGGAGACCAGCAGAAUCAACAUCACCUGGGAACUUUUAGAAAUACAAAUUCCUGGCCCUUACCGAAGACCCAAGCUACCUGGAUUACCACAGCUAGGAAUAAUGAAUGGGACUGAGGUUCCAUUUUGUUGGUUUUCAGAACUGAGAAAAAGAUUAAGAGAGGUGGCCGGGGGGCAUUUUUAUUACAUCACUAGAAGUAAAAUUCUUGGACUGGCAUGAGACAAGCCAGAAUAAAAGUGUUUGUCAAGAAUGUUUUCAUUAAUCAAGAAUGAAUGUUAGAGGUUAAAGACCAUCAGAUACCAUCCUAGUUCUGACCUUAAACCAUCCAGACUGGCAAUGCAGAGGUGUCAUUCCCAAGACCCACUGGGCAGCUUCCAGGAAACUAAAAUGUUUAGGUU
rnacentral:ncRNA from 1 species